rnacentral:lncRNA from 10 species
CGCAGCCGUGAGCGGUGGCAGCGUAUAAGGCGCACUUUGUACAGAGACCCGGGCGUGACUAGGGCGCCUCUGGCGCUGGGGUUCCGGCCCUGGGUCCCACCGAGGCUCCCUGAAGCUGGAAGGUGAGAGUAUUAGGGUGAAGCGGUCUUCAGAUCUCAGCACGGUGUCUUGGUGACGAUGAAAAUAAGAGAGCCUCUUCCUGAUUGUUUUCUGCGGGCCAGGCCAGGCGCUUCUCACAAACUCUGAGGAGGCCAGCUCACAUACUCCCCCCGCCUCACAAAUGAGACCGAGAUGCAGGGGGGUUACGUAAUCUGUUCGCCUGUAACACGCUAGUCAGUAACAAGGCGAAAACUUGAACCCAAGUCCCCGACACCAUAAAGCAGGCGGGUCCUGGGGCCCAUGGGAACUCUUAAACCUGGAAGGAAUUUGAGUUGGCAGUGCGAAAUCCUGAGCACUGCCUGGCAUAUAGUAAGACUUCAAUCAAGUUGGACAUUCUGGUAAUGAUUGUGUACCUAAUUAUAAGAAUCACGGUGGCUCACGCCUGUAACCCCAGUACUUUGGCAGGCUGAGGUGGGUGGAUCACUUGAGGUCACGAGUUUGAGACCAGCCUGGCCAACAUGGUAAAACCCUGUCUCUUCUAAAAAAAAAA